rnacentral:rRNA from 1 species
GCUUGUCUCAAAGAUUAAGCCAUGCAUGUCUAAGUAUAAACGAUUUUAUACGUGAAACUGCGAAUGGCUCAUUAUAUCAGUUAUAGUUUAUUUGAUGGUUCUUGCUACUUGGAUAACCGUAGUAAUUCUAGAGCUAAUACAUGCAUCAAAACCCGACUUCUGGGAGGGUUGUAUUUAUUAGAUGGAAACCAAUGCGGGGCAACCCGGUAUAUGGUGAUUCAUAAUAACUUUCGGAUCGAUCUUCGGAUCGAUGCAUCAUUCAAGUUUCUGCCCUAUCAGCUUUGGAUGGUAGGGUAUUGGCCUACCAUGGCUUUAACGGGUAACGGAGAAUUAGGGUUCGAUUCCGGAGAGGGAGCCUGAGAAAUGGCUACCACAUCCAAGGAAGGCAGCAGG